UACGUAGGGUGCAAGCGUUGUCCGGAAUUAUUGGGCGUAAAGAGCUCGUAGGCGGUCUGUCGCGUCGGCUGUGAAAACCCGGAGCUCAACUCCGGGCCUGCAGUCGAUACGGGCAGACUGGAGUUCGGCAGGGGAGACUGGAAUUCCUGGUGUAGCGGUGAAAUGCGCAGAUAUCAGGAGGAACACCGGUGGCGAAGGCGGGUCUCUGGGCCGAUAUUGACGCUGAGGAGCGGAAGCGUGGGGAGCAAACAGG
rnacentral:rRNA from 1 species